GCUUAAGAUAUAGUCGGGCCCCCCGGGAGACCGGGGGGGCGAGUACACUGCCUCUCGCCUGAGAAACCGUUCCGUAGGUGAACCUGCGGAAGGAUCAUUAAUGAGUGCAGGCCCUCUGGGUCUAACCUCCCACCCGUGUCUAUUGUACCUUGUUGCUUCGGUGGGCCCGCCUGACCCCAGGUCGCCAGGGGGCACUCCCCGGGCGCGCGCCCGCCGAAGACACCCUGGAACUCUGUCUGUGAGUGUUGUCUGAGUAGGAUUUGAAUCAGUUAAAACUUUCAACAACGGAUCUCUUGGUUCCGGCAUCGAUGAAGAACGCAGCGAAAUGCGAUAAGUAAUGUGAAUUGCAGAAUUCAGUGAAUCAUCGAGUCUUUGAACGCACAUUGCGCCCCCUGGUAUUCCGGGGGGCAUGCCUGUCCGAGCGUCAUUGCACCCCUCAAGCCCGGCUUGUCCUUGGGUUGUGUCCCUCCGUCCCGGGGGGACAGGCCUCAAAUGCAAUGGCGGCACCGCGUCCGGUCCUCGAGCGUAUGGGGCUUUGUCACCCGCUUUGUAGGCCGGCCGGUCGCUUGCCCCUUCAAGCACCAA
rnacentral:rRNA from 1 species